UGCAACACCUGCUAAUCACUGGCCCCGGGGUGAGACAGGCAUGUGGAGCUGCCCUGCCAGAGCGGGAUCUCAGAGGCUCUUGACAGGGAUGUGACAUUUGCCAUUGUCCAGACCUCAUCACCUGAAGUUGUCCAAGUGUCUCCAAUCUCCUCUUUUUCAUCUCAUCAUGUAUCCCUGUUGGGUCAACAGCUUCCUUGGAGAAGAAGCUAUAAAAAUACCCUCUCCUUUCUAACGUUAUGUCUUCCACCUGUCGUCCACUCCUUCUCUAAAUCCUUGGAAGUCAGGACCCGUGUUUUUGGCUGUGGUGGCAGCAGACAGGACCCGUGACACCAUCACACGUCUCUCCUGAAGGAACGUGGUGGUUAUGGUGAGCUGAGCAAUGUGGGAGCUCAGUUUUAAUGCACAGAACUGACGGUGAAUAAAGCCUUCAGCAGAGCUGAAUCCA
rnacentral:lncRNA from 1 species